AGAGUAGGAAGAUGUGAUACUGCACCCUGGCCUGUUCUACACUAGGAGACAUGGCACCCCUGGUGACAACUGGAUUCAAGCAAUGCAGCUUGGGAGGCGGCUCUCCUCAGAGCAGCAGUGGCCUCAGAGC
rnacentral:other from 1 species